rnacentral:rRNA from 1 species
GGAGGGGCGCAAGCGUUGUUCGGAAUUACUGGGCGUAAAGAGCGUGUAGGCGGUCGGGCAAGUUGGGAUGUGAAAUCCCCGGGCUCAACUCGGGAACUGCAUCCGAAACUGCUUGGCUAGAGUCCCGGAGAGGAAGGCAGAAUUCCCAGUGUAGGGGUGAAAUCCGUAGAUACUGGGAGGAAUACCAGAGGCGAAGGCGGCCUUCUGGACGGUGACUGACGCUGAGACGCGAAAGCGUGGGGAGCAAACAGGAUUAGAUACCCUGGUAGUCCACGCCGUAAACGGUGCGCACUAGGCGUCGGGGGAUUUACCCUCUCGGUGCCGCAGCUAACGCGCUAAGUGCGCCGCCUGGGGAGUACGGCCGCAAGGCUA